GAAGGCCAGUGCAACAUUCCUGUUGUUUUAGGAGCGCAGAUACCUUAGCUGAAGGUUUUUUUUAAAAGAAAAAAAUCAUGACGAACUGGCCCCGAUGAAAAGAUUUAGGAACUUUGGCCGCUUAAAAAAGUCGCAUCCAUUUCAGACAUCCAGAAGGGACCCCAGAAGUGGCACCUGCCCCACACGGGGACAUCUGGGAGAGUGGUUUCCGGCCGCCUGGGGCUGUACAGAGUAAGCCACCCGAGGACUAAGGACCCUACGCCGCCUGGAUCCCAGGCGAGCAGUACUACCCCACCCCACCGGCCUCGCGGGGCAGGAAGGCGCUGAGCAGAUGGGGACAUUGAAACUGAGCAACUUGAAGGUCCACCGGGAAGACCAGAGCGGCAGCUUCACGCAACUUGGUAUAUAUUCCCUCCACCACUACCACCGCGAUGGGAUCUCGUACAGCGCAGGCUGGCCUCAAACCUGGAUUACAAAUCUCCUUCCCGGCGCUGGAGAGAUGGCUCAGCGGUGAAGAACACUGACUGCUCUUCCAGAGAUCCUGAGUUCAAUCCCCAGCACCCACAGAGCAGCCCACAACUGU